rnacentral:rRNA from 1 species
AUUGAACGCUGGCGGCAGGCUUAACACAUGCAAGUCGAGCGGGGGAGGUUGCUUCGGUAACUGACCUAGCGGCGGACGGGUGAGUAAUGCUUAGGAAUCUGCCAUUUAGUGGGGGACAACAUUCCGAAAGGAAUGCUAAUACCGCAUACGUCCUACGGGAGAAAGCAGGGGAUCUUCGGACCUUGCGCUAAAUGAUGAGCCUAAGUCGGAUUAGCUAGUUGGUGGGGUAAAGGCCUACCAAGGCGACGAUCUGUAGCGGGUCUGAGAGGAUGAUCCGCCACACUGGGACUGAGACAAGGCGCAGACUCCUACGGGAGGCAGCAGUGGGGAAUAUUGGACAAUGGGCGGAAGCCUGAUCCAGCCAUGCCGCGUGUGUGAAGAAGGCCUUAUGGUUGUAAAGCACUUUAAGCGAGGAGGAGGCUACCUAGAUUAAUACUCUAGGAUAGUGGACGUUACUCGCAGAAUAAGCACCGGCUAACUCUGUGCCAGCAGCCGCGGUAAUAC